UUGACGCUCAUGCACGAAAGCGUGGGGAGCAAACAGGAUUUAGAUACCCUGGUAGUCCACGCCCUAAACGAUGUCAACUAGGUGUUGGAAGGGUUAAACCUUUUAGUACCGCAGCUAACGCGUGAAGUUGACCGCCUGGGGAGUACGGCCGCAAGGUUAAAACUCAAAGGAAUUGACGGGGACCCGCACAAGCGGUGGAUGAUGUGGAUUAAUUCGAUGCAACGCGAAAAACCUUACCUACCCUUGACAUGCCAGGAACUUUCCAAAAAUGGAUUGGUGCCCGAAAGGGAGCCUGGACACAGGUGCUGCAUGGCUGUCGCCAGCUCGUGUCGGGAAAUGUUGGGUUAAGUCCCGCAACGAGCGCAACCCUUGUCAUUAAUUGCCAUCAUUUAGUUGGGCACUUUAAUGAGACUGCCGGUGACAAACCGGAGGAAGGUGGGGAUGACGUCAAGUCCUCAUGGCCCUUAUGGGUAGGGCUUCACACGUCAUACAAUGGUCGGUACAGAGGGUUGCCAAGCCGCGAGGUGGAGCCAAUCCCAGAAAGCCGAUCGUAGUCCGGAUCGCAGUCUGCAACUCGACUGCGUGAAGUCGGAAUCGCUAGUAAUCGCGGAUCAGCAUGUCGCGGUGAAUACGUUCCCGGGUCUUGUACACACCGCCCGUCACACCAUGGGGAGUGGGUUCUACCAGAAGUAGUUAGCCUAACCGUAAGGAGGGCGAUUACCACGGUAGGAUUCAUGACUGGGGUGAAGUCGUAACAAGGUAACCAAGC
rnacentral:rRNA from 1 species